CAGUAGCCACGGUAAUACGGAGGGGGCUAGCGUUGUUCGGAAUUACUGGGCGUAAAGCGCACGUAGGCGGACCGGAAAGUCAGAGGUGAAAUCCCAGGGCUCAACCUUGGAACUGCCUUUGAAACUCCUGGUCUUGAGGUCGAGAGAGGUGAGUGGAAUUCCGAGUGUAGAGGUGAAAUUCGUAGAUAUUCGGAGGAACACCAGUGGCGAAGGCGGCUCACUGGCUCGAUACUGACGCUGAGGUGCGAAAGCGUGGGGAGCAAACAGGAUUAGAUACCCCAGUAGUCCCUGUCUCUUAUAC
rnacentral:rRNA from 1 species